rnacentral:rRNA from 1 species
GGAUUAGAUACCCUGGUAGUCCACGCCGUAAACGAUGUGUGCUAGCUGUUGGAUGGUAUUCCAUUCAGUGGCUGAGCUAACGUAUUAAGCACACCGCCUGGGGAGUACGGUCGCAAGACUAAAACUCAAAGGAAUUGACGGGGACCCGCACAAGCGGUGGAGCAUGUGGUUUAAUUCGAUGAUACGCGAGGUACCUUACCUACCCUUGACAUAUAUGUUGUGAUUUCUGGAAACAGAUUUCUUUGGUUCGCCCAGGCAUAUACAGGUGUUGCAUGGCUGUCGUCAGCUCGUGUCG